GCCCGCUUGGCUCAGUGGUAGAGCGUGUCACUCGUAUCUUGGGAAUUAAAAACCCCAUACGGUAUGAUAUGAUAAGGUCGUCAGUUCAAUUCUGACAGUGGGCA